CAAUCCGUCGUAUUCCUUUGUCUUCUUGUCACAAAAAGAAUUUCAUCGAUCUGGAAGGGGAGUUUUACUUACGUAAAUGGAUGUAGACCAGACUCAAACAUGUGAGAACUGUGUUAAUGUGGAUUUAUAAGCCUCUGAAUGAAUUUCUAAGGCACCUAAGCUAUUGUUUCUUAAAAUAAGGUUAGUUUCUGUCUAUUCAAGUCAGUUCAUAGGGCUUCUCGUGAGUAGGAAAGUGGAUUCACAAACUCACAGGCCUUCCUUCUUUAAGGACCCUGUGAGGUGAUAUUAUGACCUCCACUUCACUAUGCCUCAGAAGGAAUUGAGGCAAUGAGAAAUAAAGUGGUUUAUCGAAGAUUACACAGCAAGUAGUGGAGCCACAAUUUGAACGAGUGGAGACAGGAUUUCACCAUAUCGGCCAGGCUGGCCUCGAACUCCCAACCUCAGGUGAUCCGCCUUGGCCUCCCAAAGAGCUGGAAUUACAGGUGUGAGCCACCGGGCCUGGCCAGAUAUAACAUUUCUUUUUAUAACAUGUGUUCCUUUCUUGAAAUUCAUAUUGUAUAUCAACAUGCACAUUUUUUAAAGUCAUUAUAA